UCAGUAGGUCUAUGGUAUGUGUUAGAGGGUAGGUCUAUGGUAUGUGUUAGAGGGAUUCAGUAGGUCUAUGGUAUGUGUUAGAGGGUAGGUCUAUGGUAUGUGUUAGAGGGUAGGUCUAUGGUAUGUGUUAGAGGGUAGGUCUAUGGUAUGUGUUAGAGGGUAGGUCUAUGGUAUGUGUUAGAGGGAUUCAGUAGGUCUAUGGUAUGUGUUAGAGGGUAGGUCUAUGGUAUGUGUUAGAGGGAUUCAGUAGGCCUAUGGUAUGUGUUAGAGGGAUUCAGUAGGUCUAUGGUAUGUGUUAGAGGGAUUCAGUAGGCCUAUGGUAUGUGUUAGAGGGUAGGUCUAUGGUAUGUGUUAGAGGGAUUCAGUAGGUCUAUGGUAUGUGUUAGAGGGAUUCAGUAGGUCUAUGGUAUGUGUUAGAGGGUAGGUCUAUGGUAUGUGUUAGAGGGAUUCAGUAGGUCUAUG